AUUGAACGCUGGCGGCAUGCUUUACACAUGCAAGUCGAACGGCAGCGCGGGGGCAACCCUGGCGGCGAGUGGCGAACGGGUGAGUAAUGCAUCGGAACGUAUCCUGUAAUGGGGGAUAACGUAGCGAAAGUUACGCUAAUACCGCAUACGCUCGAGAGAGGAAAGUGGGGAUCGCAAAACCUCACGUUAUAGGAGCGGCCGAUGUCCGAUUAGCUAGUUGGUGGGGUAAAGGCCUACCAAGGCGACGAUCGGUAGCUGGUCUGAGAGGAUGAUCAGCCACACUGGGACUGAGACACGGCCCAGACUCCUACGGGAGGCAGCAGUGGGGAAUUUUGGACAAUGGGCGAAAGCCUGAUCCAGCCAUGCCGCGUG
rnacentral:rRNA from 1 species